AUGGGAUUUUCCAAGCAAGAAUUCUGGAGUGGGUUGCCAUUUCCUACUCCAGGGGAUCUUCCCGACCCAGGGUUCAAACCUGCAUCUCCACACCUCCUGCAUUGCAGAGAUUCUUUAUUGCUGAGUCACCAGGGAAGCCCCUAUCAGUUUAUUGGUCUUCUCUGGAGAACCCCAAAACAUCUAAUAUUUUGCUUCAUCUGCUUUAACCCUAAUUUUCUUUCUGUUUCAUGUGUUAAAUCCCACAAGGAAUCUGAAUAAUGCCAUAAAAGCCAAUGCAGGAGACACAAGAGAUGUGGGUUCAGUCCCUGGGUUGGGAAGAGUUCGUGGAGUAGGAAAUGGCAACCUGCUGCAGUAUCCUAGCCUGGAAAACUCCAUGGACAGAGAAGCCUGGAGGACUAGAGUCCAUGGGGUCACAGAAUUGGACAAGACUGAGAGACUGAGCACACACAUUAGAAGUUCAGCCUUUUCCUUCAGCUGGGCCCUAAACAAAACCCCAAAAGCCCUCCCCAAGUUUUUGAUUGGUUCUUUCCCAUUGUCCCUAAUGGCUACUCAAAACUAUCACUAUUGACAAGGUUCCCAAGUCUACUGCUGCUGGUAGUCACCCCUCUUCCUUUCCUCUCAUGAAUUUGACUAGUUUUGGAAGAUGGGUCAUCUCAAGUAGUUGCUCAGUGGUGUCCAACUCUUUGCAACCCCAUGGACUAUAUACAGUCCACGGAAUUCUCUAGGCCAGAAUACUGGAGUGGGUAGCCAUUCCCUUCUCCAGAUCUUCCCAACCCAGGGACUGAACCCAGGUCUCCUGCACUGCAGGCAGAUUCUUUAUCAGCUGAGCCACCAGAGAAGCCCUCUCUUCCCUCAGCCAGACACUAAAUCUGUACUCUUUCCUUUUCUCCCAAUUGGGAGGGAAAAAGCUGCCAUAGUAAGUCCUCCCAUUAGGGCUAAAAUUCAUCUUUGCUUAUCUAAUAAUUCAAUUUUCAGCUGCUCUCCCUUAUCUUCAGUUUCUCCCUCAACUGGUUAUCUAUUCACAAUGGAAAAACACUAUUUUUCUCUUUAAAAAUUUUCUCUUCUUUUUAUUCCCUUUUACAGAUCAGUAAAAUUAAGAAUAAUCAAAAAAGGGUUGUUAUUUUUUUUUAAACUAAAAACAUAUACUCACAGACCAAAAUUACUAUUAUUUCAUGAAAGGACUUUUUAAUUUCUAAGCGGGGCAUUAUUUCAGAAUGUUAAGGUCUUAAAUCAAUUUAGCAUUUUACAAAGACAUUAUAUUGUCCUUGUUUUACCAUUUGAAUGUAGAACAGUCACCAUUUCAUCAUGAAUUUACAGUAUUUGAGAAUUGAUGUCCUCUUCAGACACUAUUUAAGGCCCUGAAAACUGGCUCUUCUCUAUUUCAGAAGCUGCUCUUUACAGAACUCAAUAACAACUUUCUAAUUAUCCAGUCUAAAGGACAUCCUUCAACCCUAUUUGACAUCCCCGCAGCACUCUUCUGGGUCACUUCCCUGUACCAAUUAUCACUAUGUACUGGGUUUCCCAGGUGGUGCUAGUGGUCAAGAACCCACCUGCCAAUGCAGAAGGUAUGAGAUAUGGGUUUGAUUCUGGGAUUGGGGAUUCCCUGGACGAGGAUAUAGCAACCCACUCCAGUAUUCUUGCUUGGAGAAUUCCAUGGAGAGAGGGGCCUGGCAGGCUAUGGUCCAUAGGGUUGCAGAGUUGGACACGACUGAAGUGACUGAGCACGCACACACUGGGUUUUCCACACUUUUGGCUGUUUCUCAGUCUCCUUUAAAUCUUUCCCAGUCACUAAAUAAGGCUGGCCCUCAGGAUUCCACUCUGGAUUUAUUUUCUCCUUAAAUCUUAAUUCAUUUCUGUGUCUAAGCACUGGUGAAUUCCUAAAUCAAAUCCUAAUCCAGAUCUUCCCUCUGCACCAUAUCCACAUCUCCAAUUAUCUUUAGACAUCUCUCACAGAUAGACCAAACAUUACAUGCUCAAACACUUGAGUAAUUAAUCUCCUCAUUCCACACCAGAUGCACCUUCCUCCUCCUCCUCCACCCUCAGGAUUGAGUACCAACCAGCCAAACUCACCUUGAAUCUUUACUCUUCUUCAGCCUUUCUCAUCCAACUAGCAAUCAAGUUUUACUCUGCAUUUUUCAAGUUCAUAUCCUUCUUUCAUCUGGCCUUAAAGACACCACAACCUCUCAACAGUACUACUCUUGAGACUCUUUGAAGUUAACAUGGAAAUGACAGGUCCUUGAACCCUUACUUUAUGCAAUUUUCUGAGGUUAAGAUCCCCAGAUCUAAGAAUGGUCAAGAACCAGUCUUUUCCCUCCUAUUCAUUUCCACAUCACCUUGAGUUAAAAUGAAGGCACCACAAGAUGUGUUGUGUGUAUGUUUGGAAAGAUACACAAGAAUCUGGGGUACUGUAAUAUUUCUUAAGUGGAGUACCAGUUACUUAGGGGUUUACUUGUGAAAACUGAACAGUAUUCUUAAAAUGUGUCCUUACUCAACAUAUCAUAAAUAGAAGGAAAAUAUUACCAUGGGAUUUUAGGCAGAAAUCAAGUCCUCUCUCUUAAACAUGAUGCUUGUUUAUGGGCAGUCUUGCCUCUUGUCACAUUCCUAUCACGAGUUCACUCUGAAGCUACCAGAUCCUCUCACAAUUCUGUCUUCAGACAGUAUUCAUCUUUUCUAGUACUCGAUUGUCUCAUCUUAGGCGUCAUUUCCUCCUGAAAGAUUCAACUUUCUCCUUCCUGGUCUUCUACGAACUUCAUAUCCCUCUCUAAAACCCCUGCCUAUUUCUAUCAUUUUCUUGGAAAAAAGCAGUGUAUACUGCAGUGGACUUGCUUAAAAACAAAAACAAAAACCUUGCUGGCUAUGCUUUUUUGUAGCCAAUGAACUGAACACAUAAGAACCAUUUCAGUGUUACUGGAAUUUGGAUCUAAGAUCCAAGAUUCACAUUCAAGUAUGUUAAAAAUUAUGGUGGGAACACCUCAUACUACCAUGGCCCCGAAUUAAAGUGAAGUCAACAGCCAGAACUUCUGCUCAGCUAGAUAACCAUACAUGAAACAAUGCAACUUCAGCAAAGAGCAGAGAAAAUGUUUAGUGUGCAUGCUGCAAAAAUACACUUUGCAUUAGGUUUUCAAAACAGAGAACAGGUCUAAGAACCUCAUUAUUAGUUGUGAACCUGGGCUAGAGAACUACUGGUGCAGAAAAAGUAGAAUAUCUAGGUUACAGAAGAAAGUGAGGUCUUUUGCUUAAACUAUUAAGAAAUCUAGAAUAAGAGUGUGCUGGUGAUUUGGAAUUAGGAAUGAAAGACUUAACCUCAAUUGAACUAUCCCAGAAAAGGUAACUAGUCAGAUGUAGAACAAAUCACAGCAAUUUAAAUUCUUGAUUCUAAUUUUUAAAUGCAGUAAUGCAUUUGACAGGGUAGAUUUUACAAUGGAGUAAUAAAUAAACUCUUACACAAAGCAAAAAACAAAACAGAUUUAAUGACUAGAACAAAUGAAUUAAUAGGUUUAUAAUAACCAUUAACUAAGGGAAGCCCUAGAACCAGAAAUAAAGAUUGCAUGCAAAGUCUAGUUACCAUAAAAACCAAGGCAUACCAAAAUAUCUGUCUCCUAGCGUAGACUCCAGGUCUUUUUAUUUCCAACUCUCAGUAAUCAAAAUAUUUACACUUUCACAUGCUACUGGUAGUAGAGGAAUAAGACUUAGUCUGUCUAGGACUACAAAUAUCUUUCACAGAAUGGAGUGCACACAAAGAACAGUGUCUUCCUCCACCUUUUUGGGCCCAUCUUAGGGGAAAAAAGGCACUACCUAAGAUUCCUUGGUAACACCUUUGCUAGGUUUGUUACAUAAUCUUUACAUGUAGAAUUAAUGGUCCACUCAUUUCACAGAUCUGGGAACCACAUGGCAUUGGAACUGCCUUUAAGCCACAUGCCAAACUGGCUUCAACAAGGACAACAGCUUUGGAUGUCAGUUCUUAAAAAAAAAUGGGGGCUUUGUUUCCUUGAAAACAUAAAACAUAUGCUUAACUACUGAACUUUGGCACACACAGCCAAACAUAUUGUGGAACUCAAAGAACCACCAUAUAUUUCGGUGCCAGAGGACUAAGUUUUCUAACAUCAGCUGCUUCCAGCCCCCCUAGGCAUAUGCAACUUUGUUCUUCUCCCUUUUAUUAAUUAUAAUUAAGUGCUCUGAACUUGGGUUUAACCUCUCCACUGAGAGAUCUGGGGAAAAAAAAAAAGAUGCUUAAAUUACUGAGUCUUUCUCUGAUCAAAAUGAAGAGUAAUGAAGUCUUCAACUGCAUGUGGGCACUGCCCAUUAUUCACAGAAUCUUUAGAAACCAUGUGCCUGAGGCCAAAGAGAAUCUGCUUUGAUCACUAAGAGUGACUCACACUGAGCCAUACUGAAACUGCACUUGGGUACCUGGUCUCAAGUCAAACUGAACUUAAAUAUUUCUCCA
rnacentral:lncRNA from 1 species